rnacentral:rRNA from 2 species
GACGAACGCUGGCGGCGUGCUUAACACAUGCAAGUCGAACGGAAAGGCCUCUUCGGAGGUACUCGAGUGGCGAACGGGUGAGUAACACGUGGGCAAUCUGCCCUGCACUUCGGGAUAAGCCUGGGAAACUGGGUCUAAUACCGGAUAGGACCUUUAGACGCAUGUCUUUUGGUGGAAAGCUUUUGCGGUGUGGGAUGGGCCCGCGGCCUAUCAGCUUGUUGGUGGGGUGAUGGCCUACCAAGGCGACGACGGGUAGCCGGCCUGAGAGGGUGUCCGGCCACACUGGGACUGAGAUACGGCCCAGACUCCUACGGGAGGCAGCAGUGGGGAAUAUUGCACAAUGGGCGCAAGCCUGAUGCAGCGACGCCGCGUGGGGGAUGACGGCCUUCGGGUUGUAAACCUCUUUCACCAUCGACGAAGGUUCGGGUUUUCUCGGAUUGACGGUAGGUGGAGAAGAAGCACCGGCCAACUACG